rnacentral:rRNA from 1 species
UACAGAGGUCUCAAGCGUUUGUUCGGAUUCAUUGGGCGUAAAGGGUGCGUAGGCGGCGCGGUAAGUCGGGUGUGAAAUCUUGGAGCUUAACUCCGAAACUGCAUUCGAUACUGCCGUGCUUGAGGACUGGAGAGGAGACUGGAAUUUACGGUGUAGCGGUGAAAUGCGUAGAUAUCGUAAGGAAGACCAGUGGCGAAGGCGGGUCUCUGGACAGUUCCUGACGCUGAGGCAACGAAGGCCAGGGGGAGCAAAACGGG